AUUGGAACUCUUUUUAAAUAAUUUUUAUUAAAAUAAUAUUAACUGCAGAAAAACCUCUGUUAAGCUGCUCCCCGUGAAUCUUCAGCUCACUCUCCACCACAGUGGCCACAGAACUGCAGGCGUGUUGUUUCUGGUACGCUCGCCAAUCGGAGAAAAUGUCGUUUCUCGGCGGAUUUCAUGACCGUCGUCCAUAUCUUCUUAUCUUGUCUCAAUCAACUCAAUUCACCAACCCGCACUAUUUCUUCCUCAUUUACGCGAGUUACCGGGGCCGGUGGAUGUGUACUCGCACCGAGUCGUCUCCGUCGGAUUUUGCCGGCAUAAACGCCUACGGCCUCUUGGAAGUCUCGGAAACCAGCUCCUUCGCCGAGAUCAAGGCUGCGUUUCGAAAACUCGCCAAAAAAACUCACCCGGAUCUUGCCGAGUCCGAGAACGAUCCUGCUGCUUCGCGACGAUUCAUCCAAAUUCUUGCAGCUUAUGAGAUUCUUUCAGAUUCUGAGAAGCGGGCUCAUUACGAUAGAUAUCUUUUAUCCCAGCGAAUGCUUUUGCAGAAACACUCUAGGCAAGGUUCGCCAUAUUAUUAUGCAGAUAAAUCCCAUAUGACAACUGCAAAGCAAAUGGAAGUUGUUGAAUGGUUAAAGUGGUACAGGUUUGCUAUAAAUGAAAUACUGUCAGAGAAGCAUGUGGUGUCUGGGUCAGGCUAUUUUGAUAUUCUUGAAGGGGAAUUUUAUUCAGCCAUACAUGCCGCCUACUAUGGCCCUCAUAUUGAGUCCAUGGACCUUCUCCCUGACUGUUUUGAAGCUGAGGAGCGUUCUGUUUAUGGGACUCCUGAGGUUCUGCACUUGGUUUCCGGGCGUUAUCUUUUUGGAAUGGUGUGCAUUGCCAAUAAUAAUCCGAAAUUAUCGCAUGUCUGCAAUGAGAAACUGAAUUCUUUUGCAUCUAUGGGUUCAGACAUGUGCCAAUCCAUUGAGAAUUUGAGCAUCUACAUUAAUUCUGAUGCUUUCAAUGAUGGAGAAAUUCCUCAGGUGCAAAGGGAAAGUGCUAUAUAUCACACAUCAGAUGCAUAUAAAGAUCUAGAAUUGCAUGUAUGUGGAAAAGUGGUCGCUAUGGCUACUAGAAUCCCUCCCAGAAGUUGUUGUGGUGGGAUAAAGAAUGAAGAUUCUCAAGAUCACAUACAUGUGUUUCUCAGGUCACAUGAAGAUCCAAUGUCUGUUAGUAAUGUUUUUUAUCGGGAUUCCUUUUUGGAUGGUGCUGGACAACAGAUUCUAUUGGGAACAAUAACCGGAUUGGGAACCACCCCAGAAGAAGGGUCCUGCUUUGUCUACAAUAACAGUGGUACAAAAACCCAUGUGAUUAUGAAACAUAGAACACUGCUGGUGAAACACAUGCAUUGGUAUCAAGUGGGAGAUAGAGUUUCAACUUGUGAAUGUCGAUGUAGUAGAGCAAAGUUGCCCCCUAGCAAAUUUUGGCUGUUUGAGCCUCGCUGUGGUAUGCAUGAUAUUGGUGGUUGGUAUGUAGAAACUUUUGGCAGAGAUAAGAAAGGAUGGACAAUCCCAUCUCGAAGGUAUUGGGAUGGCUUCGAUCCAAAUGAAGAACCAGAAAAGAGACUCCAUCCAGCAAUAUAUUUGCUGACUCUUGCAUAUAGAACUUUAGAUCGGGAAGAAGCAAAAAGAAAGAGACGAAAUCUUAAGGAUUUUGUUGAAGGAAAACUAGUUAGACUUCUUACUUGGUGCAAGAAACUUGUAUAGGGAGGUUACCCUACCACUCUUUGAGGCUAUAUGAAUGCUUCCAGACAGCAUUGUUGACGCUGCUUGUCAGAGGGUCGUAACUCGUAAGAGAUGAGAGCUAAGUGCGGCUGGAUCUGUUAUAUUAUAUCAUGCCACAAGGAUUUCUCAUUCUCUUGGGACACAUCAGGGCUGUGGUUAAUGCCAGGAGGCCUAUUGAUGGUCUAUUGGUAGUACAAGAGAUCUCCCAUGCAGAGUCAAGAAAAAGAAAAUAUAUGGUGUUGCCUGCCAAUUGCAUUGAUCCAGUUGCCACAGUUGACAUUAACUAUGUCAGUAAAGGUAAUGCUACGGUGCUUUAUAUCGUCAUGCAUUAAAACACUUCUAUCUUCUAGGAAGUUCAUCAAAUUGGUAGCUUUAACUGUCUUGGCUUGAUUUUAUUUUAUUUCAUUUUUUUUAAUUUAUUGAUUAUUCCGAUGUUGCAUUUUCCUUUCAUGUGCCUAUACCUUUGUUUAAAAGUAAUUUUGUGGUGUAGAUUUUCUACUUUAUUUAUAAAAAUUAGUAGGCCCUUGUUUUUUUUUUUUUUUGUUUUGUGUUUUUUUUUCAAUGUUUUUUGCUUCAUAUGCUUUGCAACCAGGUUUGAUUGUACAAAUGAGUUGCCUUUUAGAUGUGGGAUCAACACAUGCUCUUGUUUCUGCCUAUAUUUAAUUAAAUUUUUUUGUGUAUAAUGAUGUUCCUUUAUUCCAUAUUUGUGAUUGUUAUAUGCAUUGUGAUCCAUACUAGUUUUCAACAGUUUGUCUCUACUGGAUGGCAAUGGUAAAACAUUUCCAGCACAAUAGGACUAAAAGUUUGAAGCUUUUUCAAUUUUAAAAAUUUUAAAAUUUCACUAUAAACACAAUUACUAGGACCUAUUCCAACUUUUUGGUUUUAUCUAGAGGAAAAAGUGACAGAAAUUAUACCAACAGUUUGUCUCUAAUAGAUGACAUUUUUUAGCACAAUAGAACUUGAAAAGGUUUUACACUUUUUUAAUUUAAAAAUAUUUUUUAAAAAUUUAUUAUAAACACUCAUCAGUACCUAUUCCAACUCUUUGGUUCCCUUGGAUGAAAAUUUUUGUUUUUUCCAUUUAGAACACUUAGAUCUUUAUGAAUCAUAAAGAACGAAAACUUUUAAAGAAACUUAAAUCAAUCUAGAUUCAAAAUUUUCAGUUCUUAAUAUUUUUAGUACUUUAUUCUAGUUUUAAAUCCCUUCAAUGAACAAUCAUCCCUGUUUCAGUUUUCCAAAAACAAGUAACAAGAGAGUAACUGCACAUCCUAAGAUGAACUCGUAUCCAUCCUCUGACAAACAAGACGAGGAAGUGGAUAUAUAAAAUGAAUUCUAACCUUGGGAGGCUUUACCCACAUUUGCCCAUCAUACCAUCCACUUUCUUCAUAAGGUAUCACUGCUGAUAAAAGUCUAUCACCAACAUAACUCCAUCCCUGCAUUAUGCAUAUGGUUUACAUAAAGGAACAGGUUUAGUAAGACAAACAAGGAUUAUGAGUAAAAACACCGUAACGAUGCAACUCCAUUGCAUGGUUAUGCAUUUUAGAGUCAUGUAGGUUUAUCUAAGUAAAUAUAAUUCGGAAUAGUAGGAGGUUACAGAUGAUUGAGCAUGGCAGCAACAAAAGAUAGAGGUUGGACCCAACCAGUUGAAAUGACUUUUUAAAUAGUUAUGCGGAUGGAGAAAAAUAACUUUGGUACUUCGUGGUAAAGUACUUAGUCUGACAUAUGCGUAUGAUGUCAGGAUUUGUAAACCAUAAUAAUUCUUUAUUGUUUGGCUAAAUCUUUGUGGUAUGCUUUGUGCAAGCGGUGAUAGUGAUACUUGACCCAAUGGCAAGGGUGUCACAUGCAAAUCUGAAAGUGGUAGGUUCAAGUCAUAGAAUAGGUUUCUUCCAAAUGUGGGGGUAAGGCUGCAAUGUCAUGUCCUCCCCAGACUCUGGUAUGGCGUGGGAGACCCAUGAACUUUUGAUGUUGCAUUUAUUUUGUUUGGCUAAAUCUGCUUGUUCAGGAAAAGCUACAUUCUCUUCAUCUUCCCCAGAUGGUAUCAUGUCUGUGUUUCUUGCAGAAGGUUACACUUAUGCUUAUGAAUUCUUUUGUUGAUUGAGCUUUGUAGUAGACAUGAACUACAAAGUAAUCAAACAAGAAAAGAAAAAGGCUGGGGGGCGGGGCGGGGGGCGCUUAUGAAUUCAUAUUGUGAUCUUAUGUUAUUGCAGUUUUGAGUUAUAUCAAGAACAAUGCAAUUGUUGAAAAUUCCCUCAUUAUUAAAGUAUAGAUCCAAAUUAGAAAACUAGAAACGUCAUGCGUCUGCUUCCCAGGUAACCCAGCUCAGGAACUUUGCUUGAUGCUAGAGUACUCGUUGUGAACUUAUCAUUGGUACAUGCAACUAGCAAGAGAAUAAUACAUAACUUGAAAUGGUGAAUAGAUGCAGAUUUAAGACAUUUCCUGUAUAUUCUAUCAUUAAAAGCGAUUAGGCCUUCCUAUGAUUUGUUAUGUAAAUAAUUGUAUGGGGUUGGGUUAAAUUAUUUCUGGAAAGUUGAAUCUUCUUUAGUUCUUUGCAUGAAACACAGUUUUGCAGCCUGGUAAUGGAUGUAAAAUAAAUUAGUAGAUACCAUGUAAAUUCUCAAGAUAAUUAGUGACACUAGAAAAAGAGUUCCUGUCCCUGCAGCCAGGAAACAUCUGAGAGGAUCCUGCAAGGUUAGAAACAGAUGCGUUAGUCAAUGUAUAUGGUGUGCAAAAAUGCAUUUUGGCAAAUGAAUAUUCCAGAAGCUGUUAACAUCAAUCAUCUUGUGAAUAUGGUUCUUGAGGCAUUUUCUUCUGAAGAUCUGGAAUGUCAAAUUAUGGACUACUGCUCUAGCUAGUAAAAAUCUUUUCUAUUGGUCAUUUGCUUAAAACUUUUGUUGUUUUUAUCUUACCAUUGAAGGAUUAAAACUUGCAGCAGCAAUUGGCACUCCCAAGACUGUGAAAGCUGUCAACCAGAGGCCUCCAAGGCGGAGGAAAAAGUUUCCUGGAGUCAGUUCACCCCAUGAAUAUAAUGGUCCAUUUCUCAGGGAGGAGUACUCAUUCACCUGUUACAAAGCCAGAAUCACCAGUAUGGCAGAACCAGAGAAGUAGAUAAUCUGUAUGUUCAAACAUACCGGCCUUUGUUCGAAAGGAACCUCAAUUUCCUGUCCAGGGUCCCAGCUCCGUCCAAGAAAUCCGCCACUGCCCCCUUCUGUCUUGUCUUUCAAUGAAGCCUUGACGGCAACGGCACGAGGCACUCUCUGAGCUCCUUGAUGCCAAAUGACCCAUGAACCACAGCUGAUGCGUCCUGUCCUGAACUGCCUUGCGCUUGCAGCUAUAGAACAGUAUACAUUCAGCCUCAGCAUUUCUGCUAAUUGGUGCAGACAAGCUGAAUCCCUUUGUUCUUGUAAAAAAUACCUGUGUUCAGUUGUUAGGCGAGAGAAUAGGGGGGAAAGAAGAGCUUGGGAGCUCUUGCUUAAGAGACAUUUCUGUGGCACAGAACAACUCAUGCGCUCCACUCAUGCAACUUCUUUUGUUGCGUUGUUGAAAGGAUGGGAUUGUGUGGUCCGCGAGGGAUAUUUUCUUGCCACAGUGGGAGAUGAUUCACCAAUCAGGAGCUGCCAAUCCAUCGGUGGACCAUUAACGUGGACGCACAUGCAUGCCUUGCAAACCACUUUGCUUCAGCUCUGCCGUCCAUCAAAUGGCCCACCAGGUUAGUCUAACCAAAUGUUAUUUUUUCAGGCUUUUGUUUUUUUUUUUUUUUUUUUCAUUUCUACUUUUAAUUAAUUUUUGUGGUUUAGUGAAAAUAAGAUAGAGGCAUAGGUUACACAACGUGGCGUCUAGUUCCUUCCACGCUGUUUUGUGUGUAUUUCUUAUGCUUCCACGGGCUCUCAACACGAGAGGGAGAUGCCAGAUUAUCUGGACGGUAGCAUUUUUUGGUUUAAUUUUUGAAAUCUUGAUGCUGAAAAGUCUCAAGUUCCAUUAAGUGAUAUCAAUUAUAUAAAUUCUUUUUUGUCAAUU